AUCUCAGCAAUGAAAUUAUCCUGUCCACAACUCAAGGGGACACAACUGACACUUUCAUUGUGGACUUUGCUGUUGGUCUGAAUGCCCGAUUUCUCAAACUUGGUGGUCCAAGCAGAGGGGAAAGAUCCUGUAAACUGAAUCGCUUAUUGCAGAUCUACAGGGAAUUAGAACCAACAGAAGUGACUCAAGAGGACUCCAACACUGUGACUCCGAGUGGCCAAAAUGAAAGUCAAGUUGGGGGAGAGAAAGUGGUGGAGAAACUAGAAGGCCUUAAGGAAGAGGACGAGGAAGAGAAAGAAUCUGCUAGAACGGAAGACGGCACAGAGGGCAAAGAGGAUGCAGAAGAGCCAAAGGAAGAAGGAAGAUGGGGAGAGGAGGAGAAAAGUUGUCUCAAACAGCACUCCCCAUUUACAUUCCCUCUUAUACAAAACCCACCUCCACCAGAAGAAGUGGAAGAAGAUGGGGAGAAAGAGGAUGCACCUGCCUCUCCAAGUUCUAAGAAGAGCAAGUAGGCCCGGCUUUGGUGGGUUGCCUGAGUAUUUUGUUUUAGCCUGUGAUUCAAAUAUUAUUACAUCAUUGUUUUCACCUCAGUUAUGUCUUUUGAUAGUGGACAACCUACAUAAUAAUAUCUAUGACUGUAAGACAAUGCUCACAUUUUGAAUAAUUGUUGAUAGUGCUUUUUGUUUUCCUUGUGUUAUUUGAGAAGUCUGAAAAUCUAUAGGCCUACUCCUUCUGUUGACAAAUAUGUGUGGGGAAACAGGAAAGCCUUUCAUUUGUCAUUGUGGGCAGUUCUUAAUCAGAGGGAAAAAUGAGUUGAAAAUAGCUUUAUGAUUGACAAUGAUGGUUGUGAUGAAAAGGCCAUAGCUUGGUGCAUGAGUUAAAUGUCUUCAAACUUUAAAAAAAAUCCACAUUUAACACAGCACAUAGAACCUCUUCAGUAAUCUUUCUUGAGAUGUAUAAAGUGACUGUGUGAAGGUUUUCCUUAACUGCCAGGACCUAUUACUCAGCAUGGAAGCGCCACCAAAUGUUUCAGCUGAAAUAAGCUAUUGAUCUUCACACAAGAAAGGGAAGCAUGAAAGGGACUGAAUGGCUAUAGAAUUGGUACUGUCGGUGAAUAAAAGACAAGUGUUACAAAUUUGCUGAUCAAUGUCAGCUCACAGUACAUGAGAUGUCGCAAAGAACAGACUCUAAUUUAAGGAGGUAGAAAAAGAAAAAUGUGGAUAAGAUACAAGUAGAGUUCACCUGUUCAAUAUUCCUAUUAUUUCAUGUGAAUUGCCAAUUACAGGUGCAUGAAAAUCUUAAGUUAUAAAAUAACACCAGUUUGUACAUAAAAAGGAGAGUAUUCUAUGCUGUGAUAAUUUUUGUGUUUAGACAUAAUUGUUUACUGAAAUGAAAUAAUUUGAUGCUUUUACUUUGUCCAAAUAAAAUUGUUUAAAAACCCU